rnacentral:rRNA from 1 species
GGUUAAGCGACUAAGCGUACACGGUGGAUGCCCUGGCAGUCAGAGGCGAUGAAGGACGUGCUAAUCUGCGAAAAGCGUCGGUAAGGUGAUAUGAACCGUUAUAACCGGCGAUGUCCGAAUGGGGAAACCCAGUGCAAUUCGUUGCACUAUCGUUAACUGAAUACAUAGGUUAACGAGGCGAACCGGGGGAACUGAAACAUCUAAGUACCCCGAGGAAAAGAAAUCAACCGAGAUUCCCCCAGUAGCGGCGAGCGAACGGGGAGCAGCCCAGAGUCUGAAUCAGCUUGUGUGUUAGUGGAACGGUCUGGAAAGUCCGACGGUACAGGGUGAUAGUCCCGUACACCAAAAUGCACAGGCUGUGAACUCGAAGAGUAGGGCGGGACACGUGGUAUCCUGUCUGAAUAUGGGGGGACCAUCCUCCAAGGCUAAAUACUCCUGACUGACCGAUAGUGAACCAGUACCGUGAGGGAAAGGCGAAAAGAACCCCGGCGAGGGGAGUGAAAAAGAACCUGAAACCGUGUACGUACAAGCAGUGGGAGCACCUUCGGGUGUGACUGCGUACCUUUUGUAUAAUGGGUCAGCGACUUAUAUUCUGUAGCAAGGUUAACCGUAUAGGGGAGCCGCAGGGAAACCGAGUCUUAACUGGGCGUUAAGUUGCAGGGUAUAGACCCGAAACCCGGUGAUCUAGCCAUGGGCAGGUUGAAGGUUGGGUAACACUAACUGGAGGACCGAACCGACUAAUGUUGAAAAAUUAGCGGAUGACUUGUGGCUGGGGGUGAAAGGCCAAUCAAACCGGGAGAUAGCUGGUUCUCCCCGAAAGCUAUUUAGGUAGCGCCUCGUGAAUUCAUCUUCGGGGGUAGAGCACUGUUUCGGCUAGGGGGUCAUCCCGACUUACCAACCCGAUGCAAACUACGAAUACCGAAGAAUGUUAUCACGGGAGACACACGGCGGGUGCUAACGUCCGUCGUGAAGAGGGAAACAACCCAGACCGCCAGCUAAGGUCCCAAAGUCAUGGUUAAGUGGGAAACGAUGUGGGAAGGCACAGACAGCCAGGAUGUUGGCUUAGAAGCAGCCAUCAUUUAAAGAAAGCGUAAUAGCUCACUGGUCGAGUCGGCCUGCGCGGAAGAUGUAACGGGGCUAAACCAUGCACCGAAGCUGCGGCAGCGACACUAUGUGUUGUUGGGUAGGGGAGCGUUCUGUAAGCCUGCGAAGGUGUGCUGUGAGGCAUGCUGGAGGUAUCAGAAGUGCGAAUGCUGACAUAAGUAACGAUAAAGCGGGUGAAAAGCCCGCUCGCCGGAAGACCAAGGGUUCCUGUCCAACGUUAAUCGGGGCAGGGUGAGUCGACCCCUAAGGCGAGGCCGAAAGGCGUAGUCGAUGGGAAACAGGUUAAUAUUCCUGUACUUGGUGUUACUGCGAAGGGGGGACGGAGAAGGCUAUGUUAGCCGGGCGACGGUUGUCCCGGUUUAAGCAUGUAGGCUG